CCCGGCACCUCCGCCCGAACGGCCGCGGGCGGCGCGGGACAGCGGGAAGGCGCGCGAGGGGCCGGGAGUGGAGCGGGUGGGGCUGGAUGUGUGCUGCAGUGACCGGACGAGCACAAAGCUGGGGGAAAAGUGAAGGGAAAAGUGUCCCGGUGACAGCUCUCUGCUCCGCUCUGAGCGGGAGAGCCUUUCCCGAGCGAUUUUCAGUGCGCGGUGCAAUUCGUCUGUCUUUUUAAGCCUAGUUACCGCUGAAGAUAUCUUUUCCUGUGCUGGGGGCAGCUCCUGCUGCAUCACUGCUGCCCGGCUCUGCUGCGGGGGGGCUCAGGAGCGAGUGCCACAGAAGGAAGACGGCAGAUAACGUAUAGCACGUGUAACGAUUCACGUUAGUUACUUUGCGAGGGAUAAAAAGAAGCUUUUCUAAUAGGGUAACAGACAUGAAAACGCAGAGCUUUGGAACAGGUGCUCACAGAAAUAGGAGAGCCUCCCCACCUGGAAGUAUUGAGGAGACGUGUGGAUGUGGCACCGAGGGACCUGGUUUAGUGACUGGAAUCGUUUCGAGCCAUUAGGUUCCUGUUGGGAUUUUCGAUCCUAAACUGCAGAACAUUUCAAGCACUGCUUUCUUCUUGUGUGAAUGUUGGACCCAAAGUUGCCAUCCUUCCACGAAGAUCUUGGUUUUGAUAAAUUCAGCACUUCGAUCAGGAUGAUGAAAAGCUGCUCUGCUCCUUGCUUCCAAUACAGAGACUGCACCAUCCCUGCUUAUACAGCACUGCAGCCAGAGCUCAUUCAUAACUGAUUGUCACCUAUGGGCUCUAGAUCUUUCACAGUCGCUGCUCUGUAGCCCCACAGCUAUUCAGAGGGACCUGCACUGCCCCUUCCUAGAUGAGUAAUGUGAGCACGUAUGGAUGUUUUCUGUUUGCAAAGCGCUCUUCUCAUCAGGCUACCCAUAUUCCUCUAUGACAUCUCUUCUCAUCUGUGAAUUUUAUCAGUUUUUGAUUCUGUCUGCAAAUUUUGCACCUGCUGGGAUGAUAGCAGACAUGGCUCUUUGUUUGCAGUGUAUCUUCAAUGCUUGCUGCUUUGGCAAGUUACCACCCAUCACUGAAACUCUUCACCGGACUCUCAUGUAGUAAGGAGAACCACUGGUCCCACAUAUUUCAUAUGUACUGUGUUUAUGUGUCCUAUCUGGUGCCAGCUCCUAAAGGUAUGGCUACCAAAACAUAAAGAAAAUCUCUUUCUGAAUAAGCAAAACUGGGGAAAAGCUCUUCUGCCUGCAGGACUGAGGAAGCUCUUAGGUAUUUAUAAGGAAUUGAUCAGAUGAAACUUGAAGUGAAAGGGCACCUUAGGCAGACUUUGGCCUCCAAGAAUAGAUAGUUGUUGCCAAAAAAGCCCGCACACUGUGACCACCACAUCCCAGCAGAAGAAUUUGCUGGGGAAGGGGCACACUAGAUUCUGCAACUGGAUGGCUCCCAUCAGCUGGGAAGAAAGUAGGCGGGAGCCAAGGCUGGGGCACUGCCCCCUCCCCAGCAGCUGUAGUUACUGUCAGUAGCUACCUUGAAGCUGAUACUUACAGACAACAGGAGAAAAUAGGGACAAAGCUGAACCCCUCAACCUAGGUGUCUGAAAGUGUUUAUCUGUAUGAUGGAGCCUGGCGCAACAGUCUUUGGAGCAACUGAAAUUCUGGGUAUGUCUUCAACCACGAAGUGUAUGCCAUAGACACCCCAGCAGCAAUGUGUUAUGUUGUCUGAAGGUUUAGGUUUCAGAAGUGCUUUUCCCGGCUAUUGAGCUCAAGCUGCUGUCAUCUGACCCUGCAUCCAGGCUGUAGUGAAGAAACCUUCUGUAGUGAAGAACAGCUCCUUGUUAUGGUCAUACUUUUAACCUCUUUCCUUGCACUGUCAGACUCCAAUUUCUAGAAUUAAUAUUUCUUUUCCAACGUGAGGAAAAUGAUGCUGUGCAGCAGGAACUGUUUAUUAUGAAGAACUGGUCCCAGAGCUGCAAGAAAGGCAGUGUAGGAAGGGGCACUGUCCAGCGCUUGUGGAAAACAGAUAGUCAUUGCCCAUGAGCUCGUGGCUGUCACUACUGCUGUUCAGACAGAAGGACAGAGAGACUGUAGCAGCAGAUAGGAAGAGCCUGAGGAGGGUGCAGAUGAGGUCAAACGCCGAAAUAUCUUGGUACAGGCUCUGGGUGGGAUGAUUAGUUGACAGCUGACAAGAGAGAUUAUGCUGAGAUACUGGACUCCAAUGGAAAGGCAACUUUUCUCCUCAAGGAUCCUAAAGACCCGUGUAGCUGUCAGCCUGCUGCUAGGAAAGCCUGCUGUCUCUGCCUUCUCCCAGCUGAUUCCCCUCUGCCAUGAAGAGGAGAUUUCAAGGGGAGCCUACCUGAAGAUGGGACAAGGAUUCCCAAGGCCUGCUGCAGCCGAAUGCCCCACGGCCUAUGGAGGCUCAACCCCUGAGGAGGAGCUGGAGUGGCUUCAGGACCCUGCUUAGUGCACUGGAGCUGCCAUCUGCAGCUCAGGAUGGACAGCUAAUGCCAUUCAAGCAUAUAGCGAGUCCAGAAGGACGUCGUCAUGAUGAGGAAGGUGUUGGCAAAAGGAGUGGCAGGGAACAAAAAGCACAAAAAAACUGAAGCUCACUGGGCUCCCUCAGGCCCUUCAGAAACUGAUGCAGUUUUGCUUCUUCCUUCAGAUUCUAUCACAAGUCUCGUAACAUUUGGUCUUUCUCCUGAGUAACUUUCUCACAGCCUGCACUCAAGGAAAACUUUCAUCAUCAUCUUCAAAGAUGGAAGCUAUCUUUCAAAGAAAAGCACAAAAACAUAAAUCCUAGGAAUAUCAAUGCAAAAAAAAAAUGCAAUUUAGAAACAAGCUUUGUGAAAUAUCUUGUGGCCAUUUUUUUACAUCUGAGUUGUGGCUCUGGGCUUAUAUCUCAUUCUGAGCUUAGCCUUCUGCACAGAAGUUUCAAAAUUCCCCUCUCCCCCUGUGGCCAUGGAAGAAAAGAGGGACUUCGCAAAUCCCAGCUCCGAGUAUGACCUGCAAGCUGAGCAUGAUCGAAUCAAGGGAAGUAUUGCUCAGAAUGAACUGCCUUGAAAUGUUUGUGCCUAUUUAUGAUGUCAGUUGAGGAAUGUUUUACAUAGGCUGAACUAGUGUGAGACUUAAAGGGGCCUUGCACAGGGGCUAAGACGUGGGCCUUCUCUCAACCCAUCCAUGGAAUGUGCUGCUCCUGCAGUAGGCCCCACAAGUGUGGGCUCCCACGUACACUGUUACUCUCAUUUAGCUCUCUGGUGGAAGUCAGUGGUUCAAGCGGAGCCUAAUCCUGACUUGCUAGGCAGACACUCAACAGUUUCAGGAUAUCCAAUUUUUCCAGGCUUUUCAUCAGAUUCCUUCUGAAAUGGGAGUCACAGCCCUGUGAUUGUCCUCUACUGGCUUGUAGGUAGUAGUGAUCUCCUGUCCUGCCAUGUAUGGUCCUCUCUGGCUGAAACAGUGAUUAGUAUUUUAGUAGUCCCUUCUGCCCACAAAACAGCAUUUCCUGUGCUCCAUAUUACUGCUUAUCCCGAGUAUUUCCAAAAGCUAUGCUUUUCUGUGAUAUAAGGGGAAAAAAACCUCCAACCAAACAUAAAGAAAUGCGAAAAGACAGUUCAUUUUGUGAUAUAUCAUUUUAUUCUUAUUUUUUGUAAUUAUGUGCCUAUUAAUCUGAUAUUUUUGUUUCAUAUUUUUCCUGCACUGCAAUAUAUGGGGAUCAUUUGUUUGAUUACUGUAGUAGAAACCUGAUGAAAUGGCACAGGUCUAUCAAAUAGGCACUGGAAUCAAGGGAUUUACUGGGCAAAGGCACCUCUGUGCUGCUAUAUGUAAAAACACUGAACAACUGAUCUGGUAAAAUAUACACCGACUUCAAGGGAAAUAGUAUAGAACACUUCAGAGCCUUGAGAAUGGCCAGACAUGAAUUAUGCCUAUAUAUGUCUACAUUACUAUUUUAUUGAGCAAGAUAAGGAUAAAAAGAGGAAAAUCAAUCAUAUUCAAGCAACCUAGAACUACCAAAUACAUCUUCAACUGCAUUAGGCAAAUAUUUUUAUCCAUUUAUGUGAACAAAUGCUUUGGCUUGAUCAUAAACAAAAUAAAAAUGUGUUUUUA
ensembl:lncRNA